CCUACGGGUGGCAGCAGUGGGGAAUAUUGGACAAUGGGGGCAACCCUGAUCCAGCCAUGCCGCGUGUGUGAAGAAGGCCCUCGGGUUGUAAAGCACUUUCAGUGAGGAAGAACGCCUGGUGGUUAAUACCCAUCAGGAAAGACAUCACUCACAGAAGAAGCACCGGCUAACUCCGUGCCAGCAGCCGCGGUAAUACGGAGGGUGCGAGCGUUAAUCGGAAUUACUGGGCGUAAAGCGCGCGUAGGUGGCUUGAUAAGCCGGUUGUGAAAGCCCCGGGCUCAACCUGGGAACGGCAUCCGGAACUGUCAAGCUAGAGUGCAGGAGAGGAAGGUAGAAUUCCCGGUGUAGCGGUGAAAUGCGUAGAGAUCGGGAGGAAUACCAGUGGCGAAGGCGGCCUUCUGGACUGAUACUGACACUGAGGUGCGAAAGCGUGGGUAGCAAACAGGAUUAGAUACCCUGGUAGUC
rnacentral:rRNA from 1 species